GGGCCGUUAGCUCAGCGGUAGAGCAGUGGACUUUUAAUCCAUUGGUCGAUGGUUCGAUCCCAUCACGGCCCA
rfam:Dokdonella koreensis DS-123, complete genome.